rnacentral:rRNA from 1 species
AGAGUUUGAUCCUGGCUCAGAAUCAACGCUGGCGGCGUGCCUAACACAUGCAAGUCGCACGAGAAAGGGACUUCGGUCCUGAGUACAGUGGCGCACGGGUGAGUAACACGUGAAUCAUCUACCUUCGAGUGGGGAAUAACUGAGAGAAAUCUUAGCUAAUACCGCAUAAUACCUACGGGUCAAAGCAGCAAUGCGCUUGAAGAGGAGUUCGCGGCAGAUUAGUUAGUUGGCGGGGUAAUGGCCCACCAAGACGAUGAUCUGUAUCCGGCCUGAGAGGGCGCACGGACACACUGGAACUGAAACACGGUCCAGACUCCUACGGGAGGCAGCAGUGGGGAAUUUUGCGCAAUGGGGGAAACCCUGACGCAGCAACGCCGCGUGGAGGAUGAAAUCCCUUGGGAUGUAAACUCCUUUCGAUAGGGAAGAUAAUGACGGUACCUAUAGAAGAAGCCCCGGCUAACUUCGUGCCAGCAGCCGCGGUAAUACGAGGGGGGCAAGCGUUGUUCGGAAUUAUUGGGCGUAAAGGGUGCGUAGGCGGUUUGACAAGUCUUAUGUGAAAUCUAUGGGCUCAACCCAUAGUCUGCAUGGGAAACUGUCGGGCUUGAGUAUGGGAGAGGUGAGUGGAAUUUCCGGUGUAGCGGUGAAAUGCGUAGAUAUCGGAAGGAACACCUGUGGCGAAAGCGGCUCACUGGACCAUAACUGACGCUGAUGCACGAAAGCUAGGGGAGCAAACAGGAUUAGAUACCCUAGUAGUCC